CGUAGAGCCAUGUGGGGCAUUCAAGCUGAAGAAGCUGAUCGUUAGAAAUUAAGCUUUAUUCCUCUGGAGUCAAUGCGGCUAAUGAGGGUGGCAAAGUUCAGUCCAGGCUGCUGGGAGUGGAGGGUGAUAUACAGCAACAUGGGAGGCCAUGCAAAUAUUGACGGAAAAGGAGUCUGGUUUCCCGGAUCGUCGGCGUGUCUUUCUCGGUCCUGGCCAAAGUUUGGCUGACCUGGCUGAGGAAACGUGGAUGUGGUCACAAAUUCAGGAAGAAUCCAUGCUGAGAUUUUUCCCUUGUAGUCUGCUAACCGUCCUGUCUCUUUUUAUUUCAUGCAGUAGCAGAGAGUAAUUUUACAUUACUACAUUUUUUUCUUAAUUUUCACUACAUACAUGCCCUUAGUCACUGCUCUCUUAAACACUUUAAGAUUUUUUUCUGACUGUUUAAUGAAAAAUGCCAUCAUUCAUGUUUAAACUCUGGACUUGAAAAUCAGCAACAGCAUGGAAAUGAUAAAGUACAAGCCAAGCCAAAAAAGAAAAUCAGAGGCACAGCAUAUAUGGAAAAAGCAAACAUCAGUUGGAUGAUCAUCAAAGGGUUUUUAUAACAAAGCAUGCCAAACUAUGCUGUAAUGUUGCUUGUGGUGGUCUUUAUUGAAGACAGAUGAGUGAGAAGAAAAUUAUCUCUCUAAUUAUACUGUUUUAUGUGACUGUUAAUAGACUUCAUGAUAAUUCUGUGGCUUCCACUGUCAUACUUUCAUGGUCAUGGAUUAGUUCAUAGUAAAAGUGUAUAUUCAUAGCAAAAAUUUGUUUUUUAAAAAAAAAAGCUUUUCGUAUAAUUCAGACGUUACCCCUGAUUGGGAGUUUGCAAAGCCAAAGAUUAGAAUAACAAGAUGGAUCCUGCAAAGGAUGUGAGCCCAUCUGCACUGCUUCCUCUCUGCUCUCCCUGGGUGGGACUCCCUCCAGGUCGCUAAAAAUCGCACAUAUCCACUGUUCCCUAGUUAUGUCUCCAACUAUACAGAGCAAUGACCUCUCAAAUAUAGCCUUCACGUUUAUCUUUAGUGCUAAGGUUAGCGACUCUUGUGGUCAAGGCUCUGUUGCAGUUGGGCUGCUGCCAGCAGAGAUUUUAAUCUCCAGUUGCUGAGCAGGAAAUCAAAAAUAAACCGUGGACUACGCUAAAUUAGAGAAAACAGCUUGUUUUAUCCACUUCUGAGUAGCAUGAAAGGAAGCGCCUUGGUUCUCAGAAAACAUCUGUGAUCAUCUCAAGGAAGAAAAAUCAUUUUAAGGCAAGAUGCUCUGGGAGUCUGGUCCAAUGGGCUA